CCCCUAGGAGAUGAAGAACUGGUUCAGUACGUCCUCGCUGGUUUGGACAUGGAAUACAACCCUAUUGUUUCUGCUGUUCUUGCUCGUGUUGAGUCAAUUUCUAUCAAUGAAUUAUACUCCCAGCUGUUAAGUUUUGAGC